UGGGCUAUUUCAUACAGCCGUUCUCCCUGCACUAAAUGCACCACAUGCUAUAUAUAUCUUUCGUUUGGUUUGCCGUAAAUCAGAUUCCACAAUAUAUGUAUUUCCCAAAUUACCCUGAAUGAUAAACACAUAUUAUACCUCCGUACCCAACCCUAAAUUGGAGUACAUUUUCUUCCCACCUCUCUUCUAUUUCCCGCCCCCGCCUCUCGUCUGUUUCCCGCCCUCGCCUUUCUUCUAUUUAAUCGCCAUUCGACUCUCUCCUCUCUUUCCACAGAAGCUGCCUAGGAAGAUACCAUAGUUCGCUCCUUGUUGUUCUACCACGGUGCAGAAAACAUGUCUGACUACACGCGUUCAAGGUUCACUUCCGCUGAUGUGCCGAGUUCGCAAGGGAAAUUUGAGAGGACAUC